AAAGNCAUUAAAUAAUCAAUAAUUUUGGCU
rnacentral:rRNA from 1 species